rnacentral:tRNA from 1 species
GUAAUGGUGGCUCAGUGGCAGAGUUCUCGCCUUCCAUGCAGGAGAUCCGGGUCCGAUUCCCAGCCAAUGCA